rnacentral:ncRNA from 1 species
UUAAUAUCUAUGAUGGAAAGAGUAAAUAGUAAAUUUCAAUUACAGAGAGUCGGGAUAGCUGAGAACCUGACAGUGUAAAUUUCUAUUGAAGGACAUUCCUGAGAUGCCUGUCUGAAAGCUUUUGUUAUUAGGUCAGGUCGGCUUCCAACGUUAACUGGAAUAAAGCGAGUCUUUACGAUUAAUAAGGAUGGUACCGUGGGCAUAUAUCUCACUCCUGUAUGGAGUGGGAUUUUUUUAUUAAAUGCGCAGACUUUUGAUGUGUUAUUUAACCCCUAUUAUCCUAUUUAUCUUUAGACUAACUUGGGUGGUACCGCGAAUUCUUUCGUCCCUUGA